CAAUCCGCAUGUCAUCCUGGUGAUGAUUGUCACAAAUUAAAUUGAAAACAUUAGGAGAUAGAAGAUGUAUUUUUAUUUUUCAGUCUGGUUUAUAAAAGAUGCUAAAUGCAACUAAGAAGAUAUAUAUAUAUAUAUAUAUAUAUAUAUAUAUAUAUAUAUAUACCUUAACAUUUGAGAAGACAGUAGGUUGAAUGUAGUAGCCCUUGUCGCCAAGUCUGUCUCCUCCUGUUUCAAGGGUAGCCCCACUUUCAACCCCAAGUCUGACAUACCUCAGGAUUUUCUC
rnacentral:lncRNA from 1 species